rnacentral:rRNA from 1 species
CAGCCGCCGCGGGAAUACAGAGGGUGCGAGCGUUAAUCGGAUUUACUGGGCGUAAAGCGUGCGUAGGCGGCUAAUUGAGUCGGAUGUGAAAUCCCCGAGCUUAACUUGGGAAUUGCAUUCGAUACUGGUUAGCUAGAGUGUGGGAGAGGAUGGUAGAAUUCCAGGUGUAGCGGUGAAAUGCGUAGAGAUCUGGAGGAAUACCGAUGGCGAAGGCGGCCCCCUGGACAAAGACUGACGCUCAGGUGCGAAAGCGUGGGGAGCAAACAGGAUUAGAUACCCCCGUAGUCCCUGUCUCUUAUAC